rnacentral:tRNA from 1 species
GGGGCAGUACCUCAGCGGAUAGAGCCCUCGUCUCGUAUGCGAGAAGGCCAGGCUUCGACUCCUGGCUGCUCCG